AGCGAACGCUGGCGGCAGGCCUAACACAUGCAAGUCGAACGAACUCUUCGGAGUUAGUGGCGGACGGGUGAGUAACACGUGGGAACGUGCCUUUAGGUUCGGAAUAACUCAGGGAAACUUGUGCUAAUACCGAAUGUGCCCUUAGGGGGAAAGAUUUAUCGCCUUUAGAGCGGCCCGCGUCUGAUUAGCUAGUUGGUGAGGUAAGGGCUCACCAAGGCGACGAUCAGUAGCUGGUCUGAGAGGAUGAUCAGCCACAUUGGGACUGAGACACGGCCCAAACUCCUACGGGAGGCAGCGGUGGGGAAUCUUGCGCAAUGGGCGAAAGCCUGACGCAGCCAUGCCGCGUGAAUGAUGAAGGUCUUAGGAUUGUAAAAUUCUUUCACCGGGGACGAUAAUGACGGUACCCGGAGAAGAAGCCCCGGCUAACUUCGUGCCAGCCGCCGCCGUAA
rnacentral:rRNA from 1 species